GUGCUUAGUUUGGCAGCACAUAAUGCUAAAACUGGAACAAUACAGAGAAGUUAGCAUGGCACUUGCACAAAAAGGAUAUGCAAAUUUGUGAAGCAUUCCAUAUUUUU